UCGACUAUUUCACUAAGUGAAACAAGAUUUAAAACAAAAAUCGUCAUGAAACCUUUUUCAAGAAAUAAUGAUUAAAAUCAUAUGGUAACAUAGGAAAAAAAAUAAAAGAUGAUACUUUACAUCACAAGCAUUGAGGUUAUAUAUAAUAUUGGAGUCAUGUAUUUUGUGCAAUAAUUUUGUAACAUGGAGACUAUCCUAUACCAUUAUCAUGCAUAGAUGCCCAAACAUUCCCCAAAAUUUCUAUGGAGGCAGUACUUCUAUAUCCUUCUGUUCUGAAAUCCAAAAUCCUCGAAAGGUUAGAACUUGAAACUUUCAGCUUUAAGUUCUCAAGUUUGAGUUUUGGGAAGUAGCUUUUGAAAAUUGAGGAAGCAGAUUCUCAGCUCUUUUAAUGGGAAAAAUAUUAAAUUGAAUCUGUUCAAGUAUAUAUGUGUAUAUAUAACACAAAGCAGAAAACAAGAGAAGACAAAAAAGAAACCAAACAUGUAACUUCAAGUUGAAUAUAUUCAACAAAUCAGAAUACAUGUGAAUUGGGCUACACAGCAUGAUAGCAUUUAAUCUCUUACUUUACCAGUUAUAUUAAAUGACUAGCAUCAAAAUGAGAGGCAGAAUUAGAAACAAAUAGUCACUCAGAUGGAAGAUCAUUUGGCUGAUUCAAAUAGAAAGUCCUUGAAUUUCUUAAUUCCACCUUUCUCAAUUCAUCCCACUUCCACAUUUUUAAAAAUAAGCAAAUAGCUUCAUAGCCAAAAACUGCUUUCUCUAUAUUUGGAAAUAAAACAAAAAGUUAGCAACUUGUUAUAGAAUUUCACCAAAAGUAAUAUGGCAAAACUCAUCAUUUCAAGUGUCGUUAAACUAUCAAAUCACUUCCUAUUCAAAGUCCUAUUACCAAUAGAUUUGGAAUUCAGGAAACAAGAGCAAGUAGCUUAUUAUAGAAUUUCACCAAAGGCAAUGUGGCCAACCUCAUCAUUUUUUAAUGCCAGUGGAAUUUAUAUCAUUUUACUAUUUAAUUUGAAAUCAAAAUUUACCUGUCAGGUGACUGUUCCAAUAAUUGCAGUCACCAGGAAUUCCUUCCAUCCUCCUAGGAACUGCAAAAGGUUUGCAAGCAAAAGCCAAAGAUUAGAUUUCAAUGUUUUAGAAGGAAGAACAGUCCGCCUCACAAGCUACAUAGUUGCUACCAUUUCAUUUUGUUAAGAUUUGUAUAAUUCCCUCCAGCUGCAAAAAAUAUGCUUUACUCUCUGUUUACAGAAGCAAAACACAGAACUUCCAUUCUACUAAUUGAAAAGGGUCAAAAUAAUAAAAUUAGGUCUGAUUUAGAAGCUCUAAAUUAAAAGACUAUAAAGGCAAAAAAAAAUUUUCAGCGGCACAUACAAGUCAUAAUCUCUGAUUUGCUGGAGUCCUGUCUGAAAAUAGUACAUAUUGCAAAAUUAAGAAUACCACAGUACAUCCACGCAAUUAGCAUAAGGAACUAAAUAAAAAAAUUUAAAAUUUAAAAAAAAAAGCAUUCAAAAUAACAAAAAGGCCAUAAGCGUAGCAGACAAGAACUUUAUUCAAGAAUCAUAUCAAGAUAUACGAGCGAGACAAAAGUAAAAUAAAAUGACAAUUGAACCAUCAAUGAAAACCCUGAAUUCAGAAGAAAAGAGAAAAUAAAUUACAGCAGAUCUAGAGAUUAAAGAAAAACAAAAAAUAAAAAGUCAAUAAGAAAAUUAAAAAGAAAGAAAGAAAGGAAGCAAAACCAACCUAAGACAAUGUGGAUUGAAGCUAAGCAAGAAAACACACCAAAAAGCUAGCUUCUCAAUGUGAAGAGCAGCUAAAAUAGAAUAAUAAGGUUUUUAUAUUUGUGAAAAACGGAUUUCUUUGUGAAAAACCAAAGGCAGGAUUUUGGGGUAUAAAUUAAGACUGAGAAAGAAAGCAGAUAAAUCGUGGGAGAUGAAAUCGAAGAAUAAAAAGGGACUGGAUUUUUUUUUGUGAAAAACGGCGUUGUUUCAAUAAAAAUUAAAAAACUU
rnacentral:lncRNA from 1 species